ensembl:lncRNA
CAAGCCAGAGAGCAAAUGGCAGGUCAUCCAAAAGAGGACCUACUUUAAGUAGUAUCUAAAAUACUACAAAACAUUUUGAAGAGUCCUGGCAUAUCUAGUUCCCCGAGUCUUUUAGCAGAGAUGAUUCAUCAGCCUAAUUUGGGUUUCUGCUGAGGAAUCUGCAAACAUCCCCAUGGGUCACUUCUGACUUUUAAGUACCUGAUCUCAUCCCACAGAACCUAAAUGAUGGACCCAAGAACAUCACCAGACCGUUACAGCCCUCUGCCCACCAGAGGCAGCCUCAGCAUCCUCAGCAACAGGCACCUUUGAGCCUCUUGUCCACAGAUUGGCAAUGAGCUUCAGCCUGGAUCAAGUGUUCUGGAGCAAGACCAAUCUCCCUCAUCCAAGAGAGCUCUUGGUCUGUUUUGGCCUGCACAUAUGGAAUUGGAUGAAGUUAACAGAGAGCACAUGAUCCAGGCUGUACCAAUAUGGGGAAAACAAGAAAGGAAAGAAGAUAAGAAAGUAUAAAAAUUCAAAAUCUAAAAGAGAGCAUGCUUAUAAGCAUAAAUUUGCUUUUAUACAAUUUAGGUAUAAUGGUUGAUGAAUCAAUAUAUAAAAUAAAAAAAUAGAGAAAUGUAAAAUAUAAAUUUAUUAGCUAAACCCAACAAAAUAAUAAGGCUAUAUCGUAUUAAACACAUAGUAUUAUUGGGAUUAAGUUUGGAUACACAUUGCAAAAAACUAAAAGAACUAUAACUUUAGCAAGAUACACUUGAUUUUUCUCUGCCACUGAAACAAAGCUGGAGGUGAGCCAGCC